rnacentral:rRNA from 1 species
UGCGUAGGCGGCCAACUAAGUCAGACGUGAAAUCCCUCGGCUUAACCGGGGAACUGCGUCUGAUACUGGAUGGCUGGAGUUUGGGAGAGGGAUGCGGAAUUCCAGGUGUAGCGGUGAAAUGCGUAGAUAUCUGAAGGAACACCGGUGGCGAAGGCGGCAUCCUGGACCAAUACUGACGCUGAGGAGCGAAAGGCCAGGGAGCAAACG